rnacentral:rRNA from 1 species
GAUGAACGCUGGCGGCGUGCCUAACACAUGCAAGUCGAGCGAACGGACGCUACUCUUGCUUCUUUCUUGUUAGGGGCGGGCGGGUGAGACACACGUGUAUACCCUACCUAUAUGACUGGGAUAAUUACGGGAAACCGGCGCUAAUCCCGUAGAAUAUUUUGAACCACAGGGUUCAAAGGUAAGAUUCGGCGUUUCGGUAACUACUCGAGGCAUCCGCGCUGCUUUAGCUAGUUGUUACGGUAACGGCUUACCAAGGCAAGGAGGCAUAGCCGACGUGAGGGGCUGAUCGCCCACCCGGGAAGUGGAACAGGGUCAAGAGGACUACGGGAGGCAGCAGUAGGGAAUGUGAGGCAAUGGGCGAAAGCAUGACGGAGCGGCGCGGCGUGAGUGAUGAAGGUCUUCCGAGCGUAAAACUCUGUUAUGAGGGGAGAACAGAUGUGUAAGUAAAUGUGCAGAUCGUGACGGUACCUAAUCAGAAAGCCACGGCUAACUACGUG